GUGUGUGUGUGUGUGUGUGUGUGUGUGUGUGUGUGUGUGUUGUUUUGAGGACAUUGCUAAACUGUCUCCCAAAGAACCCUCUCCAACUUUCUGAAUCUGACUUGAAUUGGGUUGGAAUAGGAUAAGAGAGUGUUCUGAAGAGGAAAGUAGAAGGAAGGAACCCCCACUUUUCUUCUUGGUCCCUCCCCAAAUAUAUCACAUAAAACAGCA